rnacentral:rRNA from 1 species
CCUACGGGAGGCAGCAGUGAGGAAUAUUGGUCAAUGGACGAGAGUCUGAACCAGCCAAGUAGCUUGAAGGAUGACUGCCCUAUGGGUUGUAAACUUCUUUUAUAAAGGAAUAAAACGAGGCACGUGUGCCUUUUUGCAUGUACUUUAUGAAUAAGGAUCGGCUAACUCCGUGCCAGCAGCCGCGGUAAUACGGAGGAUCCGAGCGUUAUCCGGAUUUAUUGGGUUUAAAGGGAGCGUAGAUGGGUUGUUAAGUCAGUUGUGAAAGUUUGCGGCUCAACCGUAAAAUUGCAAUUGAUACUGGCAGUCUUGAGUACAGUUGAGGUAGGCGGAAUUCGUGGUGUAGCGGUGAAAUGCUUAGAUAUCACGAAGAACCCCGAUGGCGAAGGCAGCUUACUAAACUGUGACUGACAUUGAUGCUCGAAAGUGUGGGUAGCAAACAGGAUUAGAUACCCUUGUAGUC